UUUGAGCCAUUUUCCCGGAUGAUGAACUCACAAUGGUAGCUGCAAACUAUGAGUGCUUAUUUAUAGUGUUGUCUUGAUUAUAGAAGCUCAUGUAUAUUUAAUGUUAGCCUUGAAGAUUGUAUCAGUCAUUUAAGAUUUAAAUUCAUCUUUUUGUAAUUAUGGUAUUAAG